GGAAGUAAAAAACAAGGUCUCCGUUGGUGAACCAGCGGAGGGAUCAUUACCGAGUUAUCAACUCCCAAACCCCUGUGAACAUACCCAACGUUGCUUCGGCGGGACCGCCCCGGCGCCCUCGGCGUCCCGGAACCAGGCGCCCGCCGGAGGACCCAAACUCUUGUUUAAACCAUAGUGGCAUAUUCUGAGUCUCACAAGAAAAAUGAAUCAAAACUUUCAACAACGGAUCUCUUGGCUCUG
rnacentral:misc_RNA from 1 species